rnacentral:rRNA from 1 species
AGAGUUUGAUCCUGGCUCAGAACGAACGCUGGCGCGCGUCUAAGCAUGCAAGUCGAACGGCAAGGCAGGUGCUUGCACCUGCCCUAGAGUGGCGGACUGGUGAGUAACACGUGGGUGACAUGCCUUUUAGUUGGGGAUAGCUACUAGAAAUAGUAGAUAAUACCGAAUGUGAUCAAUAUUUAUAGAUGAUGUUGAGGAAAGGAGCUAAGGCUUCGCUAAAAGAUUGGCCCGCGGCCCAUUAGCUAGUUGGUAGGGUAAAGGCUUACCAAGGCGAUGAUGGGUAUCCGGCCUGAGAGGGUGAUCGGACACAUUGGGACUGAGAUACGGCCCAGACUCCUACGGGAGGCAGCAGCUAAGAAUAUUCCACAAUGGACGAAAGUCUGAUGGAGCGACGCCGCGUGGAUGAUGAAGGCCGAAAGGUUGUAAAAUCCUUUUACACUGGAGGAAUAAGCAGAGUAGGGAAUGACUCUGUGAUGACUGUACAGUUUGAAUAAGCAACGGCUAAUUACGUGCCAGCAGCCGCGGUAACACGUAAGUUGCGAGCGUUGUUCGGAAUUAUUGGGCGUAAAGGGCAUGUAGGCGGAUUUGCAAGCUUGAUGUGAAAUCCCGCAGCUUAACUGCGGAACUGCAUUGGGAACUGCAAGACUAGAGUUACUGAGGGGAAACUAGAAUUCCAAGUGUAGGGGUGAAAUCUGUAGAUAUUUGGAAGAAUACCAAUGGCGAAGGCAGGUUUCUGGCAGAUAACUGACGCUGAGGUGCGAAGGUGCGGGGAGCAAACAGGAUUAGAUACCCUGGUAGUCCGCACAGUAAACGAUGUACACUAGGUGUUUGACCAUGAGGUUGAGUGCCAUAGCUAACGCAAUAAGUGUACCGCCUGGGAAGUAUGCCCGCAAGGGUGAAACUCAAAGGAAUUGACGG